GACGAACGCUGGCGGCGUGCUUAACACAUGCAAGUCGAACGGAAAGGCCCUGCUUUUGUGGGGUGCUCGAGUGGCGAACGGGUGAGUAACACGUGAGUAACCUGCCCUUGACUUUGGGAUAACUUCAGGAAACUGGGGCUAAUACCGGAUAGGAGCUCCUGCUGCAUGGUGGGGGUUGGAAAGUUUCGGCGGUUGGGGAUGGACUCGCGGCUUAUCAGCUUGUUGGUGGGGUAGUGGCUUACCAAGGCUUUGACGGGUAGCCGGCCUGAGAGGGUGACCGGCCAAGUUGGGACUGGGAUGCGGCCCAGACUCCUACGGGAGGCAGCAGUGGGGAAUAUUGCACAAUGGGCGGAGGCCUGAUGCAGCAACGCCGCGUGCGGGAUGACGGCCUUCGGGUUGUAAACCGCUUUCGCCUGUGACGAAGCGUGAGUGACGGUAAUGGGUAAAGAAGCACCGGCUAACUACGUG
rnacentral:rRNA from 1 species